AAAAAAGUGGAACCCGGUGCGCACAACCCAUCGACCCAGAACCCACAUCCCUUCCGAUCCCAACUCCUCCAGCGCCGCCUCCUCCCUCCCCACCGGCGCGCCGCCUCCUCCCUCCCCUGCCCGGUCGCCACCGCCCACGGCCGGCCCCAACCAAGCGCUGUUGCCCGCCGCGCCCGCCGCCCCCAACCACCGGCCGCCAUACGCCUGUCUCCUUCGGCCGCCGUGCGCCUCCCAACCCCGGCCGUCGCGCGCCUCCUACCCCGACCGCCGCGCGCCUCCGACCCCUGGCCGCGGCGCGCCUCCCUCCACCCGGCUCCCUGUGCAACUAUGCAGUCCGUCCUGGCUGAUCUACUCUGGCCGUUCAACUUUGGGUCUUCCGGCCGCUCGGCCAGCGGAGCUCGACGAAGAGCACCCCGGUCUCGCUUGUGUGUGGAGUUCCGAGCAUCUUCUACUGCUGUGUGCUGCUCUCUUCUAUUUUCAACUGAAUGUGCUGCCAUGUGUGGAUUUACUCUCGACUCUAGCCGUUGAUCCAUAGUUCAUUUUCAGUACAGACUCUGAAGCUGCCCAGUACAUGUUGGGGGACAUUUAUGGAAUCACAUAUCCUUCUUGCAGCUGUAAUUUUGAUUGCAUAGCAGUAUAGUUUAGUUGUCUCUGAAGUUUUGAUUCACAGCAGUACAAUUUAGUCCCAGCUGCCAUGAUUCUGCAAACCAUUGGGCUCCCAAAAAGAUGGUGCUUUAUUGCAACAAAUUGUGGGGAAAAUGCAGUGAAAAAAUAAAUUGUGCUCCCAAAAUUUCAUAUGAUAUACUGUUAAAAAAUAAUCAUAGAAAAGUUCAAUUUGUGUUAUUGGAACAACUCAAUUUAUCGGUUUUAUAUUAUAUGAUAAGUGAUGCACAGGGAUGUUGCAACAAUUCGACUCUGAGAGCUAGUAAGUUCGACAAAAAAAACAGCAUAGUGCAUAUCAGUUCGUUUGAAGCAUACCAGUCUUUCAGUUUGUGAGUUUGUCAGUUCGCCGAUGGGAUCCGCAGGUCAUCCCCUCAUCUUCCACAAUUACUCUUCAGCCUUUUGUGAGUAUUAAUUCAACUACUGACCGAAGUUUGCAGCUUGGACUGAAGUUUUAAAGUCUGAUUUACUGAUUACCUGCCGUAGUUUUAAAGAAGAAAGGAAGAUAGAUGCCUCUUUAUUACUACCGAGAAGAAUUGUUUUAAGAUAUCGGUCUUACUUCUGUCAAGAUCCAAGGUAAAUUUAUUUACCCUUUUCCCUGAUGGAUUAACCAAUAGUAGUAAAUACUGUCAGAUGGCCUUCAAGUUGUUCUGUUCUUGUUAUUUUUGCGUGGAAAAAGUAACACUUACGGUUCACAUUCUUGUUAAGACGUCAUUGUGUGUUGUGGUGCUCCUUCUGCCCCAUGAUGUUUUAAAAAUACCUCUGUGUAUUUAAACAUUUCAGGUUUGAAAGAAAACUGAAAAACACAAUAUUUCCACCUUAUUUUCUGCAGGUAUUUUCAAUAUUUUUGGCAAAAGACUAGAUCGAGUGAGAUAUCCUUCUCUGCCUACUCUGUCCAUAACACUCGCCAAAACUGAGCAAGGAGCUACAUGCUCGACGGUUGCGCAUUGCCGCCAUGGACGUGCACAAAGAUAUUAAGUACAAGUGAAUGAAGCCUCGGGACCAGCAGCCACCUGCGCUACAGAAUACAAGUGUUUGCAGUUUGCUCACCAGAAUGUUGAAUGAGACUACAUCAUUAUUACUCAAAAAAUUCAGUUUGUAUUUGUUCAGAAUUGUUCUCUCUAUCCAUGGCAAAGAAUGAUUUUUUCUGGUUUAAUGCAAUCCUCCUGUGGAAGCACUAAAACACGCUACCUGUUGAACUGAUACUGAUAUUGAAGACAAGGAGCAGGACCAAGUGUGCUGGAAGUUUUUUUGUACCCAUGUGCGGAAGCACUUUAUUUUUCUGAUAAUUAUUAUUGUGUUCAUGUGGGUGCUUGAAAAGUUCCGUACAAGAAUAGGCUGUACAAGAAUAGGCCGAUGAUUUUUGUGCUGAGGUCGAUGCUAUGGAUAAUAUGAUUCAUGUACAUGUAUUAUAUGUGUGGAAACAAUUUCUGUCA